ACAACGAGAGUUUGUGAUGCGCGAAUAUAAUCACGUGAUUUUCAAGUGCCGAGCAGUAUAGUUUUCCGUCGCGAUAUAAUAAAGUGUGCUUCGCGUAUGAUUAAUGUCGACAGUAUCGUCCAAAGCGCCGCGUAAUUGUCAUAUUCUGCUGUUGGGCGCGCGCGAUCGUAAUUAUCCAUGUUUUCGCGAGUGUCACAAAGUGAAUAAGAAAAGAGGAAAAGGAGACCCGGGAUGGUAUCGUGCAACAGCAGAGCAACUCUAAGAUUGAACCGAACGUGUACGAAGUUAUUAUUCGAGUUCGUCGAAGUUUAACGACGAGGUUGUGUAUAUUGUUCCGUUCGUCCAAAAUGUACAACUAUCUACCUGUGGAUAUCCGGCUGUGUAUCUGUCUUGAAUUGAAAAGCAGUGGGUAGGCGGGGAUAAAGCAAGAAAAAAGAAACGUGUGUGUACCAAAGACAACGUUUAGGAGGAAAGAGGAAGUAACAUUUCGCAAAGGGAAAGCCGGAAGUUGAGUCGCAUGACCAGGAAGUUAGAUUUCUCACCAGUUUCACGGAGACGCAAUGUCAAGUCCUGAUUAAAAGGUCAAGUGUUAAACAGAAAUUUCGUUCGUGAGACGGACGGAUGAAUAAAGAUGACCAUGCGUAGAGUUACCCCGGAGCGUGAAAGAAGAGAAGCGACGGUUGUAAAUCGAGUCGAGUCCGCCUGACCUCCCGGAGGCUGUUCGAUAACUUUUAACUGACUCCACAGAAAAAUCAACGACCGUGUGUUAUCGCGCGGCCUGCCCGCGUCAAUCCGUGUUAUCUUCGUUGCGGAUAUGUGGCAGCCAGAAACCGUCACGGGUGGCGUGAAUCGUAUGUAUAACAUAAAUCAGAUUUUUCUGCGCCCACAUCUCGUUGAUACUCGCCUUUAUUUUCUUUUUCGAAAAAAAAAACAA